rnacentral:lncRNA from 1 species
CCAAAUUCCACGGGACGGGAAGGGGCGGUACCUGGGGAAGGGCGGAGCCCCGAUGGGGCGGGGCUCCCGGAGAUUGGGGGCCCAAGAGCUCGGCCAGGAUAAAUGAGCGGGCUGCCGGCUGCAGACAGUAGGGGUCCCUGACCUCCAGGCAAGGUCCAAGAGGAGCUCUCUCCACCCUCUUGCCAGUUUCCAGGAAGAAGAACAGAGCCCAGCCCACCUGGGCAUCUAUCUUCCUGUAGAAAAGAGGCAGGCAGAGCUGAGGGGCCUUCCCAAGGAAGCCCCCAUCACCGCCUCAGAUGAAGUGGUCCCUGCUGAAUGCUUUGCUGGGGUCUACGAGGCAAUUCAAGAUGAGAAAUGGAACGGUGGCUUCGGAAAAGCAAAUCAUUCCAACAGCACCUGAAAACAUCGAAGGAAACAAGCUCUUUUUGUGUGUGUGGAAAUGGGGAAUAUAUUGUUUCUCACUGUUUCGAAGACUGUUUUCCCAUCUUGAAAUCACAAGCUGUUUUCUUCCAGAGAGACUUAUAAAUACAUCCAAUUAUCGACAUUCAAUAUAAGAAAUAAAGUUCUGAAAUGGUUUUCUUCAGCACAUGCAGAGUGAGCCGACCAGGUUGGGCAGGUGAUAAUUACUUUUAUUUCUUACGAGUGGGUAUCACCGCGGAGUGGCUAGAAGCUUCACCUUUUAUUGCCUUCACCUUUUAUUACAUUUCCC